CAACGGUAGGUCAGUAUGCCCCCGAAUCUCCCGGGCUACACGCGCGCUACAAAGGACAGGACAAUGGGAUGCAAUACCGAGAGGUAACGCCAACCCGAAACCUGUUCGUAGUUCGGACUGAGGGCUGUAACUCGCCCUCACGAAGCUGGAUUCCGUAGUAAUCGCGGGUCAACAUCCCGCGGUGAAUAUGCCCCUGCUCUUU
rnacentral:rRNA from 1 species